UUGAUAUCGCAGUAAAAAGUAUUAUAUAUUUAAGAGAUUAAGAUAUAGUUAUAAAUUUUAGUAUAAACUAAGUUUGUGCCAGCAGUUGCGGUUAUACAGACUAUGCAACAGUAAAUUUUAGGAAAUAGUAAAAUUUUUAUUUUGAGAGUAGAUAAAGAAAUUUAUUAGGUGAAAUUUUAAAUUUUUGUAAAUUUUUAUUUUGAAACUAAGAAAUUCUUAUAAUAAACUAGGAUUAGAUACCCUAUUAUAAAGAAAGUAAGAAAAAAAUUCCGAAUUAGUAAUAGUUAUGUUCUUGAAAAUUAAAAAAGUUGGCGGUGUUUUAGUCUAUUCAGAGGAACCUGUCCUGUAAUUGAUAAUCCACGAUUUUAUCUACUUAGUUUUUUAAUUUACAUAUCGCCGUAGGUUGAAUAUUUUUUUAGAAUUUUAAUGUUCAGAAUUUUUAUUAAAAGAAAGUCAGGUCAAGAUGUAGUUUAUAGCUAAGAAGAGAUGGGUUACAUUAAUUUAAAUUAUAUGAAUAAAUUUUUUUAAUAAAAUUUUGAAGGUGGAUUUGAAGGUAAUUUUAAAUAAUUUUUUAAGAUGAUUUUAGCUCUAAAAUAUGCACAUAUCGCCGGUCGCUUUCACCAUAAAGUGAAAUAAGUCGUAACAUAGUAGAUGUACUGGAAAGUGUCUCUAGAAAGAA
rnacentral:rRNA from 1 species